AUUGAACGCUGGCGGCAUGCCUUACACAUGCAAGUCGAACGGCAGCACGGGAGCAAUCCUGGUGGCGAGUGGCGAACGGGUGAGUAAUAUAUCGGAACGUGCCCAGUCGUGGGGAUAACGUAGCGAAAGCUACGCUAAUACCGCAUACGAUCUAUGGAUGAAAGCGGGGGAUCGCAAGACCUCGCGCGAUUGGAGCGGCCGAUAUCAGAUUAGGUAGUUGGUGAGGUAAAGGCUCACCAAGCCGACGAUCUGUAGCUGGUCUGAGAGGACGACCAGCCACACUGGGACUGAGACACGGCCCAGACUCCUACGGGAGGCAGCAGUGGGGAAUUUUUGGGACAAUGGGCGCAAGCCUGAUCCAGCAAUGCCGCGUGCAGGAUGAAGGCCUCGGUGUAACUGCUUUGUA
rnacentral:rRNA from 1 species